CCGCCUCCUUCCCUCCCUCCUCCGCGGUCACUCACUUGUUCGCUCCCGCCGCCCCCCUCCCGCUGCCGCCGGUCCCCGCCGCCUCCCUCACCGCCUGCGGAGCGCCGGUCACGUGACGGAGGCCCCUCGCGCGGCCGGGCCUUGUUUUGACAUCCUGCCUGCCCGUCCGCUGGGCAUCCCGCUGGAACGGCUGGCCAGCUGUGUGUGCCACGGGCUGUCAGCCUCUCCCAGCCUGCCCUCGGGACCCCGCGCCGCCGUUUGUCACCCUCCAAAUCCCACCGCUGCCGGAGCCGGGGCUGCGAAGGGAAUUAAACGGAAAAGCCGAUGUGUCACUCCUGUUGCAGCCCCGAGAUGCUGCAGAGCCUCGAGGGUUAAAGCAACAGGAUGAAGUCAGCACAAAACAGCCUACAAGGACUGGCAAAUAAAUAAAUCAUCCUAACGACGUUAUUAUCAUGGCUUGCCUGAGCUUCAUUGUCUCUUCCUUUCUUACCUGAAUGCCUGUUACAUUUUUUUCUCCUUGCUCAAGAGAGGCAAUCAAAAGAGAUUGUGAGCAGUAAUUGGCUCCUGCCCAUUUUGGAUGUUGCUAAAAAUACUACCUUACCUCUCCAUAUCUAGAGGUCAAUUGAAAAAUCAAAAUACUGAGGUAAGCAAUCCUGCAGGCUGCUCUGCUGAGGAGAUUUCUUGUGUGUCUUCCCAGAAGGGGAACAUAAAACUAUCUGAACGCGUAUAAAACACAUUCUCUUACAUUCUGUCUGCAGUUCUGCACCCUCCUCUGCACCCAUCGCUGUAGCUCAGGGAGGCUUCCCCAGGCACUUGGAAAUUGCAUUUCUCGAUACAGCUUUAGAAGCCCGGCAGAUGUGUUCCGCGCAGUUCUGUCAUAUCUCCCGGCUUUCAGGCAGACAAAAUUAGCUUUGGUACAGCUAAGAGGGAGAUGAUGUGUUCAACGCAUUGCAGUUUGGGUACAUGUCUGUACCUGCUCCCUUUUGUCUUGAGGGAAGGCAGGUGCCACCACAGCAAGAAGCAUUAUAGCCCAACACCAGAUGAAAGCAGAAAGAUAUUUCAUGAACAAAGGUGCAAUGUCUACAUACAAAGGAAAAAAAAAAACAACAAAGCAUAAAAUCCUGGAGCUGAUGGAGAAUCUGACAAAUUAAAGGACUUGGAUCAGGCAUGAGAGAGGAGAAGAAAAAAAAGAGGGCAGAGUAGGAUAACUAUACUUUACACUGCUAUAAAGCGUAGGAAAAAAACCCAAACACAUGUUUGGGGAGCUUUUCAUGAUAAAACAUAAAAAAUAAAAAGUGUAUGUGAUGAGACAGUAUGACCAUGGCUGUGUCUUAGAAAGUUAGAAAUGGCUGAUGAAUGAAUGUGUGCUAUUACUCUGCAAAUAGCGCGCUGGUAGAGCUCCAAAACACAUACAGUGAACACCCAGCUACCUCCACUGCAGCAGCUUUUGCUAUGUAGCCCUUCCCCAAUUUGGAGCUGCUACUUUCUCCCUCAUGGCCAGACCCUUCCCGCAUCGUUGUUGAAUUCCUAAAGGAUGGCCAAAGUCUCAAGCAGGGCUGUCGUGGAAGCAUUUCGGUCCAGUUCGCUAGGAGGGUUUUUUAAAAAUCGCAGUGCUGUUGCCGUCUCCUUGGAACUGAUAUUAGCCAUCAUCUCUUGGUGCCCGUCCUUGGUACGGAUAUGUAUUGCUCAGGCAGGUCACCUAUCACCCCAAGACUCAACACGUGGGAGUAUCCGUUAUACUCACCAAGGUGCAAAAGUGCUUUUAGGGCUUCAUGGUACGUACAAUUCUGGAUUGAAAAAAAAAGUGUUAGUUGAUUUGACUUGUGCUACCGUGGGCCCUUCUAGAUGUGUUGCUU